GUGCUCGCUUCUGUGGCACAUAGACUAAAGUUGGAACAAUACAGAGAUUAGCAUGGCCCCUACGCAAGGAUGACACGCAGAUUUGUAAAAAACAAAACAAAACA